rnacentral:rRNA from 1 species
GAUGAACGCUGGCGGCGUGCCUAAUACAUGCAAGUCGAGCGAACGGACGAGAAGCUUGCUUUUCUGAUGUUAGCGGCGGACGGGUGAGUAACACGUGGAUAACCUACCUAUAAGACUGGGAUCACUUCGGGAAACCGGAGCUAAUACCGGAUAAUAUUUUGAACCGCAUGGUUCAAAAGUGAAAGACGGUCUUGCUGUCACUUAUAGAUGGAUCCGCGCUGCAUUAGCUAGUUGGUAAGGUAACGGCUUACCAAGGCAACGAUGCAUAGCCGACCUGAGAGGGUGAUCGGCCACACUGGAACUGAGACACGGUCCAGACUCCUACGGGAGGCAGCAGUAGGGAAUCUUCCGCAAUGGGCGAAAGCCUGACGGAGCAACGCCGCGUGAGUGAUGAAGGUCUUCGGAUCGUAAAACUCUGUUAUUAGGGAAGAACAUAUGUGUAAGUAACUGUGCACAUCUUGACGGUACCUAAUCAGAAAGCCACGGCUAACUACGUG